rnacentral:rRNA from 1 species
CCUACGGGGUGCUGCAGUGGGGAAUAUUGGACAAUGGGCGAAAGCCUGAUCCAGCCAUGCCGCGUGUGUGAAGAAGGCCUUCGGGUUGUAAAGCACUUUCAGUGGGGAAGAAAGCCUUGGGGCUAAUACCCUCGAGGAAGGACAUCACCCACAGAAGAAGCACCGGCUAACUCCGUGCCAGCAGCCGCGGUAAUACGGAGGGUGCGAGCGUUAAUCGGAAUUACUGGGCGUAAAGCGCGCGUAGGCGGUCUGAUAAGCCGGUUGUGAAAGCCCCGGGCUCAACCUGGGAACGGCAUCCGGAACUGUCAGGCUAGAGUGCAGGAGAGGAAGGUAGAAUUCCCGGUGUAGCGGUGAAAUGCGUAGAGAUCGGGAGGAAUACCAGUGGCGAAGGCGGCCUUCUGGACUGACACUGACGCUGAGGUGCGAAAGCGUGGGUAGCAAACAGGAUUAGUACCCCGAGUAGUC